ACGUCAUUUCCGGUUCCGGCAGAGGCGCGCGAGCCCCGCGUGGAGAAGCGGCGCGAUGAGGCCCGGUUUCAGCCCCCGGGGGGGACGCGGCGGCUUCCGGGGCCGAGGUUCCGGUUUCAGCCCCCGCGGAGGGGGCGGGGCCAGAGGAGGGGGCGUGGCCCGCGGAGGGGGCGGGGCCCGCGGCGGCCC